AUGUCAUAUGCACAAGCUUUACCAUCGAAAAAUGAUGAUGACACAAAAUAUUAUUUUGCCGUACAUUUGAUGGAAGAUAAUGAUAAUGGAUACUAUGGAAUAUCUGCUAACAUGGAUGUGUAUGGACACAAUCUUAAUGUCGGACAACUGUCAGCGGGUGCAAUUUGUAUUCAUAACUGGGAAGGUGAUGUUAACAAAAAACUCAAUUCAAUUAUUGUUGGUUGGGUGGUUUGGCCAUAUCGAUUUAAUGACUCGCGUACUCACCUUUUUACGGUUUGGACAAAAGAUAAUCAUCAAAGUACAGGGUGUGUCAACCUCGAUUGUCCUGGCUUUAAACUCGUGAAGGGGUCCCCCAUAUCUCCCGGUGGUAUCAUAAGCCCUGUCUCCGGUAUCAAUAGGAAACGCCAAACGAUUACUAUUAGAGUGUCCAAGGAAAGUUCAAGUGGGGACUGGUGGUUGUAUUAUGGCAUCAACGGUGUCCCAAUUCCAGUAGGUUACUUCCCAGCAUCACUAUUUGAUAGCUUAUCUACAAAAUCCACUCAAAUCUCGAUUGGAGGCCAUGCUCGAAGUACUACAAAUAAUACAACUCCUCCUAUGGGAAGUGGAGCCUUUGCCUCUAACCCUGGUCAAGCUGCAUCUAUCCAUGAUAUCUGGCUCAUCCACAAGGAUGGUAGAAGCACCCCAAUUGGCAAUGAUGCACGCACUAAAGUUACAGAUGGCAAGCUCUACUCUGCCUCACCCAUAGGAAGAGCGCAAUUCUUUUAUGGAGGCCCGGGAGGGAAAUCUUAG
rnacentral:rRNA from 1 species